AUUGAACGCUGGCGGCAGGCUUAACACAUGCAAGUCGAGCGAGCGGCAGACGGGUGUGUCAUGUCUGGGAAACUGCCUGUUGGAGGGGGAUAACUUCUGGAAACGGUAGCUAAUACCGCAUACCAUCAGAUGUGCCCAGAUGGGAUUGGCUAGUGGGGGGGGUAAUGGCUCACCUAGGCGACGAUCCCUAGCUGAUCUGAGCGGAUGACCAGCCACACUGGAACUGAGACACGGUCCAGACUCCAACGGGAGGCAGCAGUGGGGAAUAUUGCACAACGGGCGCAAGCCGGAUGCAGCCAGGCCGCGUGUAGGAAGAAGGCCUGCGGGUUGUAAAGUACUUUCAGCGGGGAGGCGUUACCCGCAGAAGAAGCACCGGCUAACUCCGUGCCAGCAGCCGCGGUAAUUC
rnacentral:rRNA from 1 species